rnacentral:rRNA from 1 species
GAGUUUGAUCAUGGCUCAGAACGAACGCUGGCGGCAGGCCUAACACAUGCAAGUCGAGCGCGCCCUUCGGGGUGAGCGGCGGACGGGUUAGUAACGCGUGGGAAUAUGCCCAAAGGUACGGAAUAGCCUCUGGAAACGGAGAGUAAUACCGUAUGUGCCCUUCGGGGGAAAGAUUUAUCGCCUUUGGAUUAGCCCGCGUUAGAUUAGGUAGUUGGUGGGGUAAUGGCCUACCAAGCCUACGAUCUAUAGCUGGUUUUAGAGGAUGAUCAGCAACACUGGGACUGAGACACGGCCCAGACUCCUACGGGAGGCAGCAGUGGGGAAUCUUGGACAAUGGGGGCAACCCUGAUCCAGCCAUGCCGCGUGAGUGAUGAAGGCCUUANGGUCGUAAAGCUCUUUCGCCUGUGAAGAUAAUGACGGUAGCANGUAAAGAAACCCCGGCUAACUCCGUGCCA